rnacentral:rRNA from 1 species
UACGGGGGGAGCAAGCGUUGUUCGGAUUUACUGGGCGUAAAGGGCGCGUAGGCGGCCACCGCAAGUCGGUUGUGAAAUCUCUGGGCUUAACCCAGAAAGGUCAACCGAUACUGCGGGGCUAGAGUGCAGAAGGGGCCACUGGAAUUCUCGGUGUAGCGGUGAAAUGCGUAGAUAUCGAGAGGAACACCUGCGGCGAAGGCGGGUUGCUGGGCUGACACUGACGCUGAAGCGCGAAAGCUAGGGGAGCGAACGGG